rnacentral:misc_RNA from 1 species
UCAAACUUGGUCAUUUAGAGGAAGUAAAAGUCGUAACAAGGUCUCCGUUGGUGAACCAGCGGAGGGAUCAUUACCGGGUCGGCGACUGCCCGAACCAAACCGUGCACUCGUACCUUCAAUUUUCGUUUCGCUGCGGCGGGUCGCUCGCUGGGGGAGCUGCUGGUCCCGGAAGGGGCCGGCCCGCCGAGGCGUCGUUCAGAAACCACGAUGAAAGAGAACUUCGGAAGGUGCUGCCGCGGCCCUUCGGGGCCCGGAAAAACCUAUCACAACUCACAACAAUGGAUCUCUUGGCUCUGGCAUCGAUGAAGAACGCAGC